rnacentral:rRNA from 1 species
AAAGGAAUUGACGGGGGCCCGCACAAGCAGCGGAGCAUGUGGUUUAAUUCGAAGCAACGCGAAGAACCUUACCAAGGCUUGACAUCCCUCGAAUUAUGUGGAAACACAUAAGGCCUUCGGGACGAGGAGACAGGUGGUGCAUGGUUGUCGUCAGCUCGUGUCGUGAGAUGUUGGGUUAAGUCCCGCAACGAGCGCAACCCCUAUUCUCAGUUACCAGCAUGUAAAGAUGGGGACUCUGGGAAGACUGCCGGGGACAACUCGGAGGAAGGUGGGGACGACGUCAAAUCAUCAUGCCCCUUAUGUCUUGGGCUACACACGUGCUACAAUGGCCGUUACAAAGGGCAGCGAAAGCGCAAGCUGGAGCGAAACCCAAAAAGGCGGUCUCAGUUCGGAUUGUGGGCUGCAACCCGCCCACAUGAAGUCGGAGUUGCUAGUAAUCGCGAAUCAGAAUGUCGCGGUGAAUGCGUUCCCGGGCCUUGUACACACCGCCCGU